AUGUAUUUGCAGCUGCACUAUAACGCAAAAGGGAUACAUACUUAUCGAUGCUAGCAUUUGAAAUAUAUAAUUAUAUAUAUAUUGUGAGUUAUUACAAACUGAUUAUUUACUAACUAAAUCGUGGUUGCUGUUGCCGACAUUACACGUCAACAGGUAUGCCAUACUGCCGGAAAGUGUUGGUUGUGGUGAUGCUCUGCCUUCUCGGUUCUAUUCUGGUACAGGAAACUGCAGCUCGUUGCAAUUGCCGCAAGCGAUGCCUUUACAGUGAAUGCCAUGCAGGCGCUUGCGCAGAGAACGAUACGCUGUUCAACUGUUGCCCAGACCAUUCGAGGAUUUGCAAGGGAGUAAAACCAAAAUGACAGUUGAC